AUGCCCCCGGCUGGGAUUUGUUCUUUCCCAAAGUGGAGAAAUGAGGAGCCCACGGGGUGCAAGGACUCUGCUGUCUGCUCUGCUGCAGCCAGGAGCUCAGAGGGAGGUUUGGGAGCCCGUGAGCCUCCCUUUAGGGCUUUGGUGUGGGCCCUGUGCCAGCAGCUGCUGCAGGCAACGCCGCCUCUGCCCCCCUGGCCAAGAUGUUUGGGGUCGGCUCCUGCUCUCCUCUGGAAAUGCGUUACCAAACCUCUUACGGCUGCACAAACCCCGUCCCCUUCCCUGGGACCUGCAGGGACAGGCUCAGAAGCUGGAGACAGCACAGGGGGGCUGCUGCCAGAGCCCCCCGCGACCCUCCCGAGGAGCCCCCACCUCCUCAGCACGGCUGGGCAGCGUUACGCAGGAGCCGUGCAGGCGAUGUGGCUGCUGCUGUGCUCCUGGCAGCUCUCGUCACCGCUCGGAAGCGAGCUGAAAAAUAACAUCCUGCGUCAGCGCCUCGCCGCAAGCAGCCUCCACGUCCUUGGGGCCGGCAGCCUCCCCCCAGCACCUGCCCUGACCCCCCCUGGGCGCACACAUCGCGAGCCCCCGGCUCCCUUUGGGCAGCAGAAGGUUUUUUUCUCCUGCAAAACGCCAGGGAAAAGCUGCCCAACACCUCGGGCGCUGCUCCAAGCGAGGGCCCCGCGAGGAUUUGCUUCUCUUGCUGGCUCUCGGGAGGAAUUUCCAAGCGUGCAGCAGCCCCAGUCCAAUCCCCCCCUCUUGUCAUGCCUUAAAAAUGUCUCGGCUCCCCCUCGCCCUCCCCUCCGUUGCCUCUUGUUUUGUUCCGAGUGGCUUCUUGCCUCCUUGCACAAAGCCUCCUUUUCACUGCCUUUCCUGGAAACCUCUGCCGUGCUUCCCAGAAAGCUCCCACCACAAAAAGCGACCUCACGCACACCCCCCAGGAGAAAACGAGGUUCGGGGGAGCUGGAAACGGCCCCGGGAAGGGCUGGGGGAGCUGCUCAGGCUUUUCCUCGGCAGCGUUUCGCCCCCGGCCAGGCUUCCCUCGCCGCCCACAGCCUGGCGCGUGGUUUUGCCUCUUCCUCUCACGGUGCCGAUUCCUGGAAGCUGCAGCGGUGCCGCCGCCGCUGCGGAUUUCCCUGGGGGCUGCCGAGGCUGCUGGCAGCCCGGGGGGGACGGGGAGCAAGGGGGGGAGCAGAGCAGGGGCUGCUCGGACCCGGCGUCAUCGCCUCCAGCUGCCGGCACCGCGUGUGCCAGCGAGGGAGGGAGAAGGGAGGAACAAAGGACAGGCAGCGCCGGGUGGAGGACAAAUAA
rnacentral:lncRNA from 1 species